UCCGUAACCAACAAGGAGUUUUUUAUGGCAACACUGUCUACUUUGCUCCGCCUAUCGGUCAUUGAAAAGAGGUUAUAUAACGACUUUACCGUAAUAGUAAAGACCAUUUUGAUCCCGAUUGCCGUGCUUGUGAGUAUGCUCGUAGAAUUUUAAGAUAUCUUCAGAUUGCCUUAUUUUCUUAAAUGUACAGUUGUGUGUUAUUUCUUUUGAUUUUAAUUGUUUGUGAAUUCGAAAUCAACGUGCUAUAGAAAUUAUGAAUAACGUGUGUUUAUUUAUUUUUGUGUUACUUGCAGUUAUUUAAAUUCUCGUCUUCUCAGAAACGUAGAAUGUAUUGUAUUGUUUUCUCUACGUAUAGUAGAAAAACAAGCUAUGGACCUCUUUUGUUUAAAAUGUUAAUUAUAGAAGUUGCAAAUUUGUGAGUAAAUUGCAAUAACUAUGAAUAAAUAUGGAAAUCAGAAACAAUUGUAGAAAUCUUAUUUGAUUAUUUUGAUAAGCAUGAUGCUUGUAGAUAUUCAGUUAGUAUUUGGAAAGCAUGUGGUACUGACUUGAAUUUUUGACCAUGAUGCUGGAUCUUAUGGAGAUUGGAUUUUAAUGGUAAGUUUGUUAAGAACUAAGAUUUUUAGAGUGAUUUAAUUUCUUUUUUGUAGGGUUUAGGUUGAAGUUGAACAUGGAGUUGCAUGUAUGGCCUGCCAACUCAUUUGUUCUGGCACGGUGGUUAAUUGCUUCACUGUCGAGAUCCUUGUCCAUUUGUUCUUUGGACAUCUUCCUCAGUUAGGGUUUGAAAGACUGAGGUGUGGAUGUGGUUUUGUAGUCAACGAGAAGCAUAUUUGGGUUCAAGAGAUGCCCAAUUCUUCAUCCGGAUUAAUCAAACGCCAAAAAGUAGACCUCAUCGUUCGGGGGUUUUUUUAUUAGUUGGUUCCGGUAUUAGUACGGUAUUACUAAUGAUCAGAAUGAUCAGAUGUGAUUUUGGUGGAUAGGGGAAGUAUGCUGAUGGAGCUUGGUGCCAAAGAAGAUAGUUAGAUGAGUCGGCAUCCGAAAUUUUCCAAUUAAAUUUUAUUGUGAUAUUUUAUUUUUAUUAAAAAAAAAGCUUAGUAAUGUAAUUUGUUUGAAUUUGUUGUAAUUUGUUAACUGUGGCUCUGUUUCAUUGACUUUUGUUAAAAUUGUGUUGGUGUGAAUUGUUGAAUAAUAUGUGGACAUAAAGUUCCAUUAGGUGACGAUAAGCAUUGGUAUACAUCCCGAUGAAAAUGAAGAUGAUCUAUGUAAACUCGUCAAUGGAAACGUUAUUUUCCUGCCAUAUUCUAUUGACUAAUUGUUGCUUUUUUUUUUAAUGCAUAUUGUUUUAAAUGCUGUCAUAAAAAUGCUAUUGUAUCAAUAAAUAAAAGUAAUUAAAAUUUCA
rnacentral:lncRNA from 1 species